GGACUACUGGGGUUUCUAAUCCUGUUUGCUCCCCACGCUUUCGAGCCUCAGCGUCAGUUAAGGCCCAGCAGGCCGCCUUCGCCACUGGUGUUCCUCCUAAUAUCUACGCAUUUCACCGCUACACUAGGAAUUCCGCCUGCCUCUACCCCACUCAAGAACCACAGUUUUGGAUGCAGAUCCGCGGUUAAGCCGCGGCAUUUCACAUCCAACUUACAGUCCCGCCUACGCUCCCUUUACACCCAGUAAUUCCGGACAACGCUUGCCACCUACGUAUUACCGCGGCUGCUGGCAC
rnacentral:rRNA from 1 species